rnacentral:rRNA from 1 species
GAUGAACGCUGGCGGCGUGCCUAAUACAUGCAAGUCGAGCGAACGGACGAGAAGCUUGCUUCUCUGAUGUUAGCGGCGGACGGGUGAGUAACACGUGGAUAACCUACCUAUAAGACUGGGAUAACUUCGGGAAACCGGAGCUAAUACCGGAUAAUAUUUUGAACCGCAUGGUUCAAAAGUGAAAGACGGUCUUGCUGUCACUUAUAGAUGGAUUCGCGCUGCAUUAGCUAGUUGGUAAGGUAACGGCUUACCAAGGCAACGAUGCAUAGCCGACCUGAGAGGGUGAUCGGCCACACUGGAACUGAGACACGGUCCAGACUCCUACGGGAGGCAGCAGUAGGGAAUCUUCCGCAAUGGGCGAAAGCCUGACGGAGCAACGCCGCGUGAGUGAUGAAGGUCUUCGGAUCGUAAAACUCUGUUAUUAGGGAAGAACAUAUGUGUAAGUAACUGUGCACAUCUUGACGGUACCUAAUCAGAAAGCCACGGCUAACUACGUGCCAGCAGCCGCGGUAAUACGUAGGUGGCAAGCGUUAUCCGGAAUUAUUGGGCGUAAAGCGCGCGUAGGCGGUUUUUUAAGUCUGAUGUGAAAGCCCACGGCUCAACCGUGGAGGGUCAUUGGAAACUGGAAAACUUGAGUGCAGAAGAGGAAAGUGGAAUUCCAUGUGUAGCGGUGAAAUGCGCAGAGAUAUGGAGGAACACCAGUGGCGAAGGCGACUUUCUGGUCUGUAACUGACGCUGAUGUGCGAAAGCGUGGGGAUCAAACAGG